GAUGAACGCUGGCGGCGUGCCUAAUACAUGCAAGUCGAGCGAACGGACGAGAAGCUUGCUUUUCUGAUGUUAGCGGCGGACGGGUGAGUAACACGUGGAUAACCUACCUAUAAGACUGGGAUAACUUCGGGAAACCGGAGCUAAUACCGGAUAAUAUUUUGAACCGCAUGGUUCAAAAGUGAAAGACGGUCUUGCUGUCACUUAUAGAUGGAUCCGCGCUGCAUUAGCUAGUUGGUAAGGUAACGGCUUACCAAGGCAACGAUGCAUAGCCGACCUGAGAGGGUGAUCGGCCACACUGGAACUGAGACACGGUCCAGACUCCUACAGGAGGCAGCAGUAGGGAAUCUUCCGCAAUGGGCGAAAGCCUGACGGAGCAACGCCGCGUGAGUGAUGAAGGUCUUCGGAUCGUAAAACUCUGUUAUUAGGGAAGAACAUAUGUGUAAGUAACUGUGCACAUCUUGACGGUACCUAAUCAGAAAGCCACGGCUAACUACGUG
rnacentral:rRNA from 1 species